UCUCAGAGCACAUACUGCAGCUGCACGACCCACCGUUAAAGGGGAGGAGCUCAGGAAGGGCAGUGAUAAUAUCGGAGGAACAUUAAAACCAACAGCACAGCGUGUUUCAGGAGCGCGCAGCAGAGCGGGGACCGCAACGGCACCGGUGAGCUGCCGCUCCACGUUAACCUUAGCUGAGGCCUGUAGGCCACUUCACACGUCGUGGCUUAGAAGUGAGCUAUUGUAGACAGAUGCUGUUUGUAUUCUGGUGUAAUUAGCAAUGUGUACAUUGUGCACCCAAGUUUGAAACAGCAGUAUUUCACCCUGGUGUAGACAGCAAACUGUACUAGUUAUGUAGGUUAUUUGCACCCUAGGCUAAGUAGUCAUGUCUAAUGAUUACAAUCACCUUGUUUAGGCAAAGCUUCCAUAAUGUAUUGUUAUUGUUGUGAUAUUGUUUUGCUAUCUAUCUGCUUGGACCCUUAUUUAUGUAGAACUGCUUUAUUAAGAUUAUCAGUGAUGGCACUGAUAUUUCAACUGAUGUGAAACAUGCUGAAUGCCUUUUAGUCCUAUAUACAUAACUGCACUUUAAUUUCUCCUCUACAAAACCUGAACACUAGCAGUUAUGUAUUAUUGAUGCCCUGUGACCAUUCCAUUACCAUUCUGUAGACUUUUCUAGCAGAAUAUUUCACAGUCCCACUGCCCUGGUAUCAAAGAAGUGUAUGGUAAUUCUUGACAUUUCUCUCACAUUCCAGUAUUUCAAUGAAUUCAGUCAAUUCUUUUAGAGCUGCCUAAAUGGAUACAUUUUGGUGUAAUACUUUCUACUUUGGUGUAAGUUCUGUAAUUUGUGUUUUUUUCCCAUGGUGGAUAACUUUUUUCUGAGCAUCCCACUGUGUCAAGAAGUAAUCGACAAAUUUUUGGUCUUGGCAUAGAAAUUUCAAUUUAUGGUUCAUGAUUAUGUUCUUCCACCACUUUAGAAAUGUGGUAAAUUUGUCCUCUUUCCUGUGUCUUAAUCAAUAGAAAGGUCUUUCAUACUUGUCUGCAAUAAAGUAAAACAAUGAAAAAAAAAAUACAAAACUAAUAAACUAAUUUAAAAUUUUUGUCUGCAUGUCUGCAAUAAAACAAUUUCAACCAUCUUCAUCAGAGAAACUUAAAUCACUUGAAGAGCAGAACUAGUGCAAAUGUGUAUGCAAAUAAAAACUGGACUUGGAUCACUCUCUGUAAGUGUCAAAUAGGUGCAGCAACGGUUCUCACUAACCUCUGCAAGUCUCUGGUCAGUGGACACAUGACAGAGCCAAACUAGAGUACUUAAUCAAAUCUGCAGGACCUGAAUUUUUUUUUAUUUAUUACUGCUCUGAAGAAUUGAACUGAACUGAGCUACCACUGCUGUUAUAAUGAACUAUGCAGCGGGGCUUGUCAUGCAGCAGUUUUUGGUCCUGAGAUAGAUAAAAUAAGCUUUUCGCUAAGUUGUAAACAAGAGCCUGAAGCCACAAGCAUAUUGUGAUGUCCAGCAUAGAAAAA